GACCUGCGGAGGAUCAUUAUCGUAGGGCUUCGGCCCUGUCGAGAUAGAACCCUUGCCUUUUCGAGUACCUUUCGUUUCCUCGGCAGCCUCGGCUGCCAAUGGGGACCCCAAAAAACACUUUGCAGUACCUGUAACAGUCUGAACAAACAAACAAAAAUUAAAACUUUCAACAACGGAUCUCUUGGUUCUGGCAUCGAUGAAGAACGCAGCGAAAUGCGAUAAGUAGUGUGAAUUGCAGAAUUCAGUGAAUCAUCGAAUCUUUGAACGCACAUUGCGCCCUUUGGUAUUCCUUAGGGCAUGCCUGUUCGAGCGUCAUUUAAACCUUCAAGCUCAGCUUGGUGUUGGGUGACUGUCCGCCGCCUCCGGGCGCGUGGACUCGCCUCAAAAUUAUUGGCGGCCGGUACAUUGGCUUCGAGCGCAGCAGAAACGCGAACUCGGGCCCGUCGUAUUGGCUCCCAGAAGCUAUCUUCACAAUUUUGACCUCGGAUCAGGUAGGGAUACCCGCUGAACUUAAGCAUAUCAAUAAGCGGAGGA
rnacentral:rRNA from 1 species